rnacentral:rRNA from 1 species
AAUAUUGGACAAUGGGCGCAAGCCUGAUCCAGCAAUGCCGCGUGUGUGAAGAAGGCCUGCGGGUUGUAAAGCACUUUCAGUCGGGAAGAAAAGCUCAAGGCUAAUACCCUUGGGAAUUGACGUUACUGACAGAAGAAGCACCGGCCAACUACGUGCCAGCAGCCGCGGUAAAACGUAGGACGCAAACGUUAUCCGGAAUUACUGGGCGUAAAGGGCGCGCAGGCGGUUGGAUAAGUGAGGCAUGAAAGCCCCAUGGCUAAACCUGGGGAGGUUGUCUGAGACUGUCUGACUAGAGUACGAUAGAGGGGUGUAGAAUUCCGCGUGUAGUGGUGAAAUGCGUAGAGAUGCGGAGGAAUACCAGAGGCGAAGGCGGCACCCUGGAUCGUAACUGACGCUGAGGCGCGAAAGCAUGGGUAGCGAA